AUAUGGUGGAUACGUGUUGGUCAUCUGUUAUUCCAUUAUUCAGCUAUCGUUGGCUCCUAUUGACAGCGAGUACCGUCGACCGCUCCUCCACCGCUGCUGCGUUUACCCUCUAUCUUCCUUCCUCUUACUCAAUCCACUACUGCUUUGAUUCAUAUGUUGUUCUGUCAACCAAAAAGCCAGAGCCCUGUUUCUCCAACUCUCUCCUACAGCGGGAACCACCACCACCAUCAGGUGCGGCAGCUCCUUUUUUAAUAUGAGUAUAUAUGUACCUUCAAAAAUUAGGGGGAAAAGGUGGGUCUUUCCUUUUUACUACUUCCCUUUGAUCUCUGCAAAAGCACACUCAAGUUUUGUUAAAUUCACACGCAAUUUUCCUCGGAAGCCGAAUCUGCAACCACGAUGUCCAUGGGAAGCAGGGAGUCUGAUCGGGGAAGUUCUUGAGCCAAUUCAGGGAAAUUGAGAUCGGUAGAAGCACCUUUGAGGUCUAUAGAUGCUGCAUCCUAAGCUCGAGCUGCCAUUUCAGUGGUUGGGUAUGACUAAUUUCUUUCCUUUCUGGCGAAUUUUCGACACCCAAAGGUUGUUAUCUUUCAAUUUCCCACAUGGCUCUUCUGCUUCCUCGGUUCCCUUCACUCCUCCUCUCCCCGUUCCUACUCCUCCACUCUCCUCUUUCUUUAUUCUUCUUAUUUCUUUUCUUUAAUUUGUAAUACUUUGUUCUAUAAAGCUUUUGAAAAUAUUUUGUGUUAGAAUUUUGUUUUGUGUGAUUGUAAUUUGUACAAAUUGGUUCUGCUUCACCUACAACGACAACAAGGAGAAAUGAGUCGGCCAGAGGACUCUGAAAGAUGAUUGUUGUUGUUGCUGCUAUAGAUAUGCCGGCGGAGCCUGUGGACGGAGAGUUUAAACUGGAGCUGUGCCCAAGUCAACAAAAAAUCUUCAUGGAAUACAUAAUGUUUGAUGGAGUGACUGAUGAAGAACUCGGGAAAAACUCGGGAGAUUGCUAGAGACAUUUCAAGUGGUGAGUUCUAAUCUUUAUGUACUUGCAGAAUAGGAGGAACUUCAAUCCCUUUUGUGGGUUUCGUUUAAUACAUAUACAAAAUAACCUUUGCAUUUGUUGUCUCCUUUCCUACAAUUCAUGAAUUAAUACCUUUUCAUCCAA